CUUGGCCACACUGCCAGAGGCUCGGAGUGCACACAGAAGGUCAGACCACAACAUUAGGCGGCCACACCUACCGCCGAACUCCACUCCUUCUGGAACUACAACCACAGCAAACUCUGAGUGGACGAGUGCUGGGUGAUGACGGAAAUGACUCUGAUGCGGAGCAUAAGUGAUCCCACAGCUCCCCUUCACUCAACAGCUUCUUGCUCUCCGACACUGAGAUGCACUUCAAACCAUGGUAAAGAUAGAAGACCUCCUCAGCCCCCAGCUGGAACCACGGUUUCUCUGCUUCGGCAGUAUCCAGCACGCGGCCAAAGGCAGCACGGUUAAGAAGUAAAGCUUGCUGCAGAUUCACACCGAGGGUCGCAUCCCUGCCCCGACUAGAUAAAGUUGCCACAAGUUUCGAGCCUUUCAGCGAGGACUGGAGCUCAGCAACAAUGCUUGACAUGGGGUGAGCUGCUGCCAGAGCUGCAAAGUCCUUGCCGUCUUUGCCCUUCUUCCAUCUUGGACCCGCCAUGUCCAUAAGCUGAGAACAGAAACAAUACAGUGUCAGCUACAGUAGCCAAGUAACGACAGAUGAAGCAGAAGCACGUCGAUUGUUAACUUGUACUCUAUCCGGUUCACGAGUACUCAAAUUUCUUGCCAUUGAUUUGGCCUCAUGGUUCGUGCUCCACAAGCGGCGGCCGGCUCUCAAGGGAUGAACUCCCGUGCAAGGCCAGCUAACAUUGCGGUGGGCAGUACAGCUCAAAUUGCAGAGAGUAAAAUAUAUCUGGAUAUACUGAAUUACUGAUAGUGUAACCGAGUCUGAAAAGUUAGCUUCGUUUGACAUCUGAACUUCCAUUUUUAGGUUGUUGGGAGGGCGAAAACAGCCGGUGAUUAUCGGAUUAUUGGCAUUGACACUGAUAGCAAUGAGUUAGAUUUUUUUUAGGGAAAUCAAUGAGUUUGAUUUGCUAUGAUUAUAGUUCCUGUAGUUCUUUUCAUUGCACAUUCCAAGCAUAGAAACUAGUAGCAUGUUGUAAAAAAAAAUAUCCGGUUUAAGCCGCAUGAUUUCUUUUGUACAAAUACUGAAGAAAGCAACCCACAUUGACCACUUCUGCAGCCAUGUGAGUGGAACUAGGUAAGGAGAGAGCAGCAAAGAAAGGGAAGUGAGGAACGGACCCAGCAAGAGACGCCGUCGAGGUCGCGGGGGCCGAGCCAGGGAGGGCGCCCGAGCAAGGGCUGUCGAGGUCGCCGCGCCUUCGUCGGGGGCGUGGUCGAGCGGGCGGCGGCGAGCGGACUUGCAGGCGACAGGCGGCGCGGGGGCGAGCAGAAGACUCGGCGGGGCGAGCGGGGACGCGGGCGGGAGGACAGGCGGAGGUCGAUGGGAAGCAGCGCCGCCGCCGGCUGAUUCGGGAGGCGGAAGAGGAGGAAGGAGAGAUGCGUACGUGGUGAUAGGGUUAGAACAAAAGGGUAUAUCUGUCUUUUUUAGGGAGAAAAGGGUAUAUGUUGUAAUUCGGUAUUAAAGAGUUUUUUUUUAAAGAAGGUAAUAAAGAGUUGAGUGCUGUGUUGGCACUUUGCUA